AGAAGGUGUAUGUCUGACAUUAAUAAAAUAAAUGGUAGUAACUCUUUGAUGGCAGCUUACCCAUGCCUUGUGGUUUUUAAUAUAAAAUUAAAAUAAUAUUCGAAAUUUACACUUGCCAAUGUAUCACUCUAGAAUGUGUUUGAGCCUAACCUAUAAUAUUCUGUGGCCUGUGAUUAUUCUCAAUGUUUAGUCUAGCCUGUUCCAGUUAAUUAAGAUACAGAUAUAUUGUGCAUGCUUUAAUUAACAUGGAAUUUAUUGAAUAUUCACUUGUAUAAUAUUUAUUCUACAAUUUGCCGUUCAGCAGUUUAGUGUAACUGUUUACAGUAUAUAGUAGUAUGCUCACUUGUUGAGCUGUAAGGACAGUGAAAUAGAUGCAGGGCUGGACACCAUUUGAGGACAUCAGGGAACUGUAAUGAACACUUUAUUACACACUUACGCUAUUAUAAUGGGAUCGUGUAGAGAGCACUGUAAUAUUAUUCUGUGCAUGGUCCCACCCGUAAUGUGUGAUUGGACGUCAGCCUGGCAUGAAUGCCAAUUCUUAGUUUAGGCCAGAGAUGCAGAUCAUGUCGCUGGCCUGCACACCCAUGGCCCGCCAUACAGGACACCAGUGUUUGGUGAUAUGACUAAGUGAACAUCACAACUAUGUCAGACUAGUAAGUAGCAAUGCCUUAGUUUAUCUGUGGGAAAUCCAGCCCUGAAUUACUGUACUACGAUGUUAUACACAGAUGUUUACUCUUUGUUGGACAAACUGACUUCCUCAGAACUUGUGUUAGCUGUGGUUUUGUUAAUGUGUUAUAUAUUUACCCUACAUAAGGAGGGGAUAGCAUUACAGUGUUAGCCUGUUUUGAUUAACACGAUGGAGAAGAUAUUGUGUUGUGUUCACCGUACGCUGACUGUUAUUUAUCUCUAUAUUAGGUGUCAUCUAUAUAGUCAAUAAUAGCAGUUAUUUACUUCAGUCUGGUAGAGCAGAGGUGUGGGCAAACUAGAUUUCAUUACAAAAAAGAAGUUAACCCCUUCCCUAUAAAUAAGCAAAAUUACAUUUUACAUUGAAAAGCAAUACAAACCAAAAUCUAGCCUAUCACGUGCCAGUAAAUAUCCUCUCCGCUCCAGUGUCGGUCUUCAUUGAGUAGAGAAAUUAAUUUGUAUCAAUAGAGAAACUGUAAACGCUGAUCACCACCACUUCCAUUUAUUCUUCCCUAUAUGGCUUAUAGUAUGGGCCCUUUG